rnacentral:rRNA from 1 species
AGUGAACGUUGGCGGCGUGGAUUAGGCAUGCAAGUCGAGCGAGAACCGUAGCAAUACGGGGACAGCGGCGAAAGGGACAGUAAUGUGUAGGUACCUACCCCGAGGUCUGGGAUAGCUGCGGGAAACUGCAGGUAAUACCGGAUAAUGUCUUCGGACCAAAGGUGUGAUUCCACCAUGGGAGGGGCCUGCAUCCUAUUAGCUUGUUGGCGGGGUAACGGCCCACCAAGGCGACGAUGGGUAGCGGGUGUGAGAGCACGACCCGCGUCAUUGGGACUGAGACACUGCCCAGACACCUACGGGUGGCUGCAGUCGAGGAUCUUCGGCAAUGGGCGCAAGCCUGACCGAGCGACGCCGCGUGCGGGAUGAAGGCCUUCGGGUUGUAAACCGCUGUCGUAGGGGAGGAAAUGCAGGUGGGUUCUCCCUCCUGUUUGACCUAUCCUAGGAGGAAGUACGGGCUAAGUUCGUGCCAGCCGCCGCUGUAACAC